GAGAGAGAGAGAGAGAGAGAGAGAGAGAGAGAGAGAGAGAGAGAGUAAUAAUAAUAAUAAUAAUCCUUAAUUAAUUGAUAAAUUAAUUAAUUAACUAGCUAGUAUUUCAUUGUUUGUUUUUCUAAUUCGUUCCGCAACACGCAGGCAGCUCCGCGUGCUGGACCUCAUCGACAACGACCUCGCCGACGACGACGAGGACGACGCCGUGGACUGGGUGUCCCGCUUCCCCGCCGCCGCCACCUCCCUCGAAUCCCUCUCCUUCGAGUGCGUCGCCUUCGCCGUCGGCUUCGACGCCCUGGAGGCGCUCGUCGCCCGCUCCCCGCGCCUCCGCCGCCUGCGCGUCAACCAGCACGUCUCCGUCCCCGCCAUCCUCCCCGUCUGCCCCAACCUCACCUCCCUCAAUUUGAGCUACGCCGAUAUCUCCGCCCACCAGCUCAGGCCCGCCAUUUCGCAANGGACUGGGUGUCCCGCUUCCCCGCCGCCGCCACCUCCCUCGAAUCCCUCUCCUUCGAGUGCGUCGCCUUCGCCGUCGGCUUCGACGCCCUGGAGGCGCUCGUCGCCCGCUCC
rnacentral:lncRNA from 1 species